UCUUGAUCUCUCUAUCUGCACUGUCAAGUGAAUUUUCAACGAGGUUUUCGAUUGAUCGCUCUUCUACAAACGCUUUGGAAAGAUUGACUUGUGAUGGCUUAAUUCGGAAUGGGGUUCGAUAAGUUCGUUUCGAUGAUUUGCAAUUCGCAAAAUAUUAUUUUUCUGCAUGAUUCAUGAUAAUUUAUCCCUUUGACGAAUCAGUCUAUUUUCUUGAAUAUCUGCUUUCUUUGUCAUUAAUGACGCUCUCCGUUGAUUCCUGUUCACACAUUUUUCUAAAUGUUUUGUAACAUGUUAUUACAUGUACAUCUGUUGUCUUGUUUUGUCGGAUUUCAUAAUGAAUUAUAUAAAAUAAAUGGCAUGUUUCUUUACAACUAAAUUUCAAAUGUGACACCAUUUUCCCUAUUGAUUUUAAUAAUGAAAGUAACAUUCAUAUGUCUUGGUAGAAAUUAAAUAUGUAAAUACAGAAGAUGGUGUUUGAGGUUUUAGAAAAAAUUUCUCUAUAUAUAAAAAGGAUUUUCUGUUCUUAUAAAGAUCUCUAGCUCUACAAUUCAGGGAACUUUGUUGACGAACAAGAAGAUGGCGUUUCAUAAUGAUCUCAGUGAUCAGAUAAGCCACUCCAUGCAGCGGAUGUGCAAAGCCACUGUCUUAGAUGAGAUCACUAUGAAAAUUUGCUUGAUCAAGAUCUCACGGGCUCUUCUUGAUGCUGAUGUUGCUACAGUGCUCGUAAAUAAUAUGGAGAGAAAUAUCCAGAAAUAUAUCAACACCUUCCUCCUGGAUGCAAAGACGGAAAAAUCAUUCAGCGAGCUGCCUUCAAUGAGCUAUGCAAGAUGUUAGAUCCGGGAAAAUCUGAACUUGCAUGGUUUGGUUGCACAUCGGGUUUACUUGGUUUGAUGAAUGUCUCAACCGUUUUGGUUAUUACAUUUACAACUUAGAUUGGUUUUGGUUUAAUGAAUGUUUGUCCGGUUUGGUUUGGUUCAGUUCAGCUUGGUUUUCAUGUCUACCCUUAAUUAGUACAAAUGUACUAGAGAAGUUUUCUUUUCUAGCUCGCUAAAUAAUUUUCUAAAAUGCAGUAAAUUCGUCAACUUUGAACGGUUACUUUAUUUUUCAGCUACUUGGGGUUAAACCCUGCGAAGGUUGCCAGACAAGGAAUUGAAAAGUUCAGGAAGGAGAAUCGUGAUCUCAUAAUUGUAGACACCAAUAGUCGCCAUAAUCACUACAGUACUUCAUUGUUUGAAGAAAUGAGCCAAAUUGCGAAAAUAAUGAAACCAGAUGUUGUAUUGGUCAUGGAUAGUCGUAUUGGCCAAGCUGCUUCUGCUCAAGCAUUCAAGGAAAGUUUCCAUGAUGGAUCUGUCAUUCUCACUAAUAUAAGAGGCAACACAAAGGCCACUGGUGCUCUCAGCUUGUUAGUUUCCCACCAUUACAUUUUUUCUAAUUUAAUUUAUAGCAAAAAUCUUGUGAUGUG